CUUGGUAAUAAUUUUGACAUGCAAAGGCUUUGCCACAUUGCUUACAUUCAUAGGGUUUCUCUCCAGUAUGUGUUCUUUUAUGUACUUGGUAAUAAUUUUGACAUGCAAAGGCUUUGCCACAUUGCUUACAUUCAUAGGGCUUCUCUCCAGUAUGUGCUCUUUUAUGUACUUCGAACCUUCCAUGAUAUGCAAAGCCUUUACCACACUGAUCACAUUUGUAAGGUUUCUCUUCAGUAUGUGUUGUUAUUUUAUGCACUUUGAGAUUACCUUGGAGUGAAAAGGCUUUGCCACACUGAUCACAUUUGUAAGGUUUCUCUCCAGUAUGAAUUCUUUCAUGUAUUCGAAGUUGACCAUGAGAAGCAAAGGUUUUACUACAUUGAUUACAUUCAUAGGGUUUCUCUCUAGUAUGUGUUCUUUCAUGUAUUCGAAGUUGACCAUGACAAGCAAAGGUUUUACUACAUUGAUUACAUUCAUAGGGUUUCUCUUCAGUAUGAAUUCUUUCAUGCAUUCGAAGUUGACCAGGACAAGCAAAGGAUUUACUACAUUGAUUACAUUCAUAGGGUUUGUGUUCAGUAUGCAUUCUUUUAUGCAUUCGAAGAUUACCAGGGUAUACAAAGGCUUUAGAACAUUGAUUACAUUUGUAAGAUUUCCCUCGAGUAUGAAUUCUUUCAUGUUUUCGAAGUUGACCAUGAGAAGCAAAGGAUUUACUACAUUGCUUACAUUCAUACGGUUUCUCUCCACUAUGUGUUCUUUCAUGUAUUUGGAGAGUAUGGGGUCCUGCAUAGGCUUUACCACAUUGAUUGCAUUUGUAGCGUUUCUCUCCAGUGUGUGUUAUUUUCCAAAUUCGGAAACUACUAUGAUGAACAAAGGCUUCACUGCACUGAAUGCCUUCAUAGGGAUUCUCUCCA
rnacentral:lncRNA from 1 species